CCCCCCCCCCCCCCCCCCCCCCCAGAUUGGUCUCGCAAAAAAGCAUGCAAGUAACUCUGGAAAUUUCAACAAACUCUUAUAUUUUUGUUUUGCACAGAUAAAUGCUGCAACUAUCAUUGCAAAUGACAGACUAAAUAAGUAUCUUGGAUUAUGGUCUUUGCCAAAGUUGGAAGCAUGAUUCCCUGGUGCUAUUUAAUUUGUUCUUGUGUCUAUGUUGUUUUUGCAUCAUUUAUUAUUUUACAAUUCUUCUGCCAGUUGUAUUGUCUGUUCACUCUAUGCACUCAGGAAAGUGGGCAUUAUGGACACGGCUAGUGUAAAUUCACCUCUAACUGAAUGAAUGACUUUAUGCCAUUUCAAGAGGGCCAUUGAGUCAACCAGAGCUCUAUGCGUCUGGAGUUGGUCAGAUGAGGAAAGGACAGCAAAUUUCCUUCCCUAAAGAAAACUGGUGAAAUUGAAUAUUGUGACAGUUCAGUAGUUUCAUGGUCAUCAUUGCUAAUACUAAUUUUUUUUGUAUCAGUUUUUUCUUACUUGAAUUUAAAUUCUCCAACUGCUACCGGAUUAAGUCCAGUAACAACAACUGCUUUGCUAGUAAACCCAUGCCAUUACUGCUGCAAGAUUGUGGACUUUGAAUGUUUACCUCGAAUAGAGGACAUUAUGGAAAAGAACAGGAAAAUGGAAUUGAUGUAGAAAUUUAGCUGUAAUCUUACUGAAUGGUGCAGUGAGAUUGAAGAACUAUAUGACCUACUCCUCCACAUUCUGAAAUGUGGUAGAUACUGGCAACCAGCUACUGCUGUACAACAAAAUAGUGCUUCGCUCAACACUUUUAACCAAUGAGUGUUGGAUCAAAAAGUAAGUAAAUACACUAACAAAGCUAGUAAUUGCUUGAGAAAUUCAGCAUAUGUGAUGAAAGAGUGAACGUUGAGUUUAAUAUGUCUUCUCAAAUCAAGUUUUGAGUGAUAUAUGAGGAACGGUUAGUAAGUUUGCAGAUUACACCAAAAUUGGUGGUGUAGUGAACAGUGGAGAAGGUUAUCUCAGAGUACAAGACACCGAACAGAUGCGCUGAGGAGUAGUAGAGGAUUUUAAUUUAGAUAAACAUGAGAUAUUGCAGUUUAGUAAGACAAAACAAGGCAGAACUUGUACACUUAAUGGUAGGGACCUGGGAGUGUUGCCAAAGAAAGAGAUGUAGGCGGAGGUUCAUAAUUCCUUAAAGGUGGAGUCACAGGUAGACAGGAUUGUGAAGAAGGUGUUUGGUACACUUGCCUUUAUUGGUCAGUGCAUUGAGUAUUGGAACAAAAACAGCAUGUGUGAAGAAGAAAUAAAAUCAGAGUUAACGUUUCGGGUCCGGUGACCUGAGCAAGGGCCACUGUACUCGAAAUAUUAACUCUAAUUUUCUCUUCACAGAAGCUUCCAGACCUGCUGAGCUUUUCCAGUAAGUUCUGCUUUUGUUCCUGAUUUACAGCAUCCACAGUUCUUUUGGUUUUCAUUGUAUCUUGGAGUUGGGGGAGAGCGGGUUCAUGUUGCAGAUGUACAGGACAUUGAUUAGGCCACUUUUGGAAUAUUGCAUUCAGUUCUGGUCUUUUUCACAUAGAGGGUAGUGUGUGUAUGGAAUGAGCUGCCAGAGGAAGUGUGGAGGCUGGCACAAUAACAACGUAUCAAAAGCAUCAGGAUGGGUACAUGAGUAGGAAGGGUUUUAAAGGGAUAUGAGCCAAAAGCUGGCAAAUGGGACUAGAUUAAUAUAUGAUAUCUGGUCUGCAUAGGAGACUUGGAAUGAAAGAUCUGUUGCAAUGCUAUACAACUCUCUAUAAGUCAUAUCAGACUUUAAAAAAUUAUUAAUUCUGGUACUCUCUCCGUGGAUGUUACCAGACCUCCUGAGUUUCUUCAGUGUUUUCUGUUUGUUCAGAUUUCCAGCAUUUGCAGUAUUUUGCUCUUAUGAGAAUAUGCACUAUCUAAUUGUGUCUAUGGUAACAGAUCUUGUACUGAGGAUCUGGCAGAUCUUGCGAAUCAGUUAAAGUCACAAGUGUUUUGCUAAAGAUCGAAUUGUUGAUAGAUUACAGAAACUGUAGAGGUAUAACUAUUGCCUUCAGAAUGAAUCCAGAUGUAUUUCAAAAAAGAUCUGAAUUAAGUUAACUGACUUUUUUACUUAAGCUAUUUGUGUAUUUAAACAUUGAGCUUGACUUUCAUUGUGUCGACCCCAGUUACUGAAGUAUAUUUUCAGUAACAUGUAGAUACUUCCUUAUAUUUGCAGCUAAUUCACUGCAAGUUUAAAUGUUAACAAAUUGGGUUCUCUUCCCAAACACAUAUGGGCUAAUAAUAAAAAUUAAUUUGAAACCUGGGACCAAUGUAAUAAAUUGUUUAGGCACUGCAGAUCAUCUCUCUUGGCGUUGUCAGCUAUGAAACAACUUUUGUAUGGCUAUCAAUGUUUGUAUGCUCAGUAGCCAGUUCCAUUUUCUUAAUUUGGGGAAAAAUUUGGGUGUGUUUCAAUUUACAAACUUAAAAAGCACCCCUGAACAUUCAGGCGGCAUUUCAAUAGGAUUUUGAAGCAGAUCUGUAGCUUGGGUUGUGGGUGUCAAGGUUGGUUGGCUCGCCGAGCUGGUUUGUUGUUCCGUGCUUGGUAACAUCCUCAGUGCAGCCUCUGAAGCGUCAGUGUGUUUUCCCGCCUGGUUUUUAAACUCUGGUGUCCGUUACAAUGGAUUGCCUCACUUCCGGGUUUCCUCCAUAGUGGAAUGUAUAUGGGGUCAAGUUCAAUGUGUUUAUUAAUAGCCUGCUUUGUGGAGUGUAUGUGCUUCCAGGAAUUGUUGUGCUUGUCUCUGCCUGGCCUGUCCCAGGAUCUUGGUGCUGUCCCAGUCAAAGUGGUGGUUCUCCUUGUCCAUGUGCAUUGAGAUGAGUGAGUAUUGGUUGUCUUUUUGUAGCCAGUUGGUGUUCAUGUACUCUUGUUGUUAGUUUCCUUCCUGUUUGUCCGAUGUAGUGUUUCUCACAGUCUCUGCAGGGGAUCUUGUAGAUGAACUUGGUCCUGUCCAUGGCGGGAAGUGGGUCUUUAGUUCGAGUGAGCACUUGUCAUAGGGUUGACAUGGGCUUGUGUGCCACUCUGACGCCGAGCGGUCAUGGAAGUCUUGUGGUGAGUUCUGAUAUAGGGUAAUGUGAUGAGUGUGUCGGGGCAUGUAGAAUCUUUCUGAUGCUGAUCCUGUAGGCAUCUCCUGACCCAGUUCUUUCGAUAUCCAUUAUCCUUGAACACUUGGAAGAGGUAUUCCUCCUCCUCUUGGCGCAGAUCCGUGUUGCUGCAGUGUGUUAUUGCCUGUUUAAAUAGCAUUUGCACGCUGCUUCGUUUGUGUGUGCUGGGAUGGUUACUAUUAAAGUUCAGUGGCUGACCUGUGUGUGUGGCUUUACGGUGCAUCAUCACUUGCAGUUCCCCAUUUGUUUUGCACUCUACCAUGACGUCCAGGAAUGGGAGCUGUUUGUUCUCCUCCUCUCUGGUGAAUUUUAUUCCAGUGAGGGUGUUGUUUAACUUUCAACAGAAUUCGUGUGAGAGAGCUCAGGGAACAUAAUCUUACUUUAACCACAUUAAUUGAAGACAGGAACAGAAGAAUUUGUGUUCCUACAGGCUAUACACAUGAUGUAAUAAUUGAGUUGUUGACUUAUCAUGGCAAUCAGUUCCUGUCAAUUAGCCCACAACACUCCUAGAACUGAACUGAGGAAAAUUCCCUAGAGAUUGCAAGUUCUAGGAACCUCCCAAGCUUGCUACACUUGGCAUAUGUCCCAUCUCAAAUUACUCCUGAACUGUAGUCUAAAAUGUUACUUUCUAAAAGAAAUUGACCUAAUUUACAAAUCUAAUAGAGUCAUUAUUAUAUAACAGGUUGUAUUUUCAGUUUUUCACUUUUCCCACAGAAUAUUUGAAUCUAGAGUACGUCCACAACUUUCCAGAAGUCAAUCAAAGAUGUGCGUCAUUAUUUAGAAAUGACAUCCCAAAUUGAUUUUGAAACUAAAUCUCUAAUGUUACGUCAACUGGGAAUAUUCUAGUUUUAACACAUUUCGGAAAUUUACAACACUUGUGUGAAUUUAUAAAAUAAUCCUUUAUACAUAGAUUUCAAUAAUCACAACUGAACUGAAGAUAUGAUUAUGCAAGAUGGAGACCUAUGGUGUCAUGAGGAUUUGGAAGAAUUACAAUAUAUCUACCUCUUAGAGGUUUGCAGGUCAAACCUUCUGACCCUCACUGUUUAAUUUAGUGUAUUUGUAUGCGCACUAUGCACUUUGAAUCAUUCUAGAUCUGGCGGUGGUGCGUUGAGAAAUUUAAAUAUUGAGGAUCACAGGUUUAGGUGCAAAUGGAAAAUCGUCACUUUGUUGAAAAUAUUAGCAUCACUGAAAGGUUGUGUCUGCAUUCUGCUCCCAAUGAAAUAAGUCGUCGAUUUAUUAAAGGAUUUGCAAUAGCCAGAGUUAAAUUAACAGGCAUUUAAAAUUAGCAGUGCCUCCUAGGAUCCAUGAAAGCCUGUACUGAAACCAAGGUGAGAAGAGAACAGUAUUUCAUGUGGCUCAUUCAAAGUAAGCUAUGAACAGCAGUAAACAUUGAGCCUUUGAUACUGCAUUCUUACCUCCCAGUGGGAAAGGAUUUCUUCAGAAGACUCAUGGGAAGAGGUUAUUUGGCGCAAUUUGGAUACACUAAGUUCAGGAUAGAUGCCGCUAUAACCAGUUUGGAUUAGACAUCUGAUGAAGAGCAAGAUCACCAUCAACCAAAGCAACAAUAGUCUUUAUGUGAUCAGAGUAGAAGCAGCAUUGAGACGCUAACAAUGUAAUCAGGUGUUCACGUGAAGGCUUAUCUUUCUUACCUUAAGUUCUGCUGCAGAUGGCAUAUUUUGUGGAAGAAGACAUCUGCAGCCUUGGAGAAGGAGACCUAUUAGCAAUACAUUACCAGUAGUUGUUAAAUUGACCACUGUCCUUAACUUGUUUGCUUUGAAGAUGCAACUGGAGAUAUCUGCAGGAUGUCCGAUGUUGACUGCACUUCAGUGCAUAAAGCAAACUGUUAAUGGAUGGAUUGCUAGACAGGGAAUAAUGUCAACUUUGCCUGUGAAAGCAGCUGGCAUGAGCAGACACUCCGGUUCAUGGCUUUGUCUGCUUCUAACAGGUGCAGAGCAUCAUUGACAAUUGUGCACCAUUCCAGAUGAAGUAGGAGUAUCAGUGAAACAUGAGGGGAUUCAUUCUAUUAAUAUUCAACUGGUAUUCAAAUGUUUUAUUUUGUAUGUGCACCAAAUUCCCAGGAAGCUGCCAAUCUGCUUUCAUCCUUUUUAUUUUUUCAUGGGAUGAGUGUGUUGCUGACUGGACUGGCAUUUAUUACCAUUGCUGCUUGGUCUUAAAAAGGUGGUGGUGAUCAGCUGCUCUGAACUGCUCAGUUCUUGGAGUGGAGGGAUACCGACUGUGCUAUUAGGAAGGAGGUCCCAGGUUUUUUACCCAGCAGCAGGGAAAGAAAAAUAACACAGUCCUACGUCAGGAGAGUGUAUGGAGCUGAACAUGCCAGUUGUGGUGUUGCUAUUCAUCUGCCCUUGUCCUUCCAGGUGGUAGAGACUGCAGGUUUGGAAAGAAUUGUUGAAGGAGCUUUUAUGAGCUAUUGCAGUGCCUCUUGAUGAUGUACAUUGGUGAUGAAGCGCAUGGAUAAAACCAUGACACAUAAGAGCAGAAUUAGGCCAUUCAGCCCAUCGCGUUUUCUCAACCAUUCGAUCAUGGCUGACAUGUUUCUCAACCAAAGUUCUGUCCAACUCCAACAUGACUACCCUCCUCUCAUCUAUGCUAUGAUUGAUAAAGGUAAGUCCUGUAUGUCAUUGUAACUAUCUUAUUAACCUGUGUUGCCAUCUCCAGGAAUCUGUGGACAAGCUUACCAAUAUCAUUCUGAGCUUCCUACUCAUUUCUUACCCUCAUUACUGAGGAAGAGCCUUUCUCUCUUGUGUGUUAUUUUUCUUCUCACUGCAUCCACAGUAUAUCCAGCAAUUCUUCAAGAUGUUGAGACACAGUUCCUGACUGAGUUCAUAUGAAAAUGCUGCUCUUCCAAAUUCCACCUUUUGAAUUGACCCUUGAAAUAUUCCAUUGUGUCUCUCAGCUCUGCACCAGACCCAAAAGUAAAGAUAUAAUUUGAUUUCAGCAUUAAAAUGCGACAGACAGAUUCAUGGAAAGAUAUUUUAGACCUCCCACCUAAUAUUGGACCACCACGCCAUUCUGAAACCAACUCUGAGUUAACAGGUCUCUCAUGUCAUAUUUUAGGUCAAACAACAUUUAAUGAGCUUAAUAUUUUGUUUUAUCAUGAAAAAAUUGAUUUUGUGUGAAAGGUUUUGUGCUCAAAUUCAAUUUUUAUUUUGCAUAGUUUAGUUUGGUGAUCUAUGCACUUUUGUACUGAUUGUUUUUAAUUAUAUCUUUUGUACCCAGUUUUGCAAGCAAUCAAGUGUGAAAAUUGAGAGUUUCAGUUUUUUAAGAUAUUGAUCAGUGCUGUAAAGUACAUUUAUCAUUCUGUAUUUAUCUUUGCUAAUUAAAAUUAUUUUAUAAUGAU